GAUGAACGCUAGCUACAGGCUUAACACAUGCAAGUCGAGGGGAAACGACAUCGAAAGCUUGCUUUUGAUGGGCGUCGACCGGCGCACGGGUGAGUAACGCGUAUCCAACCUGCCCAUCACUUGGGAAUAACCUUGCGAAAGUAAGACUAAUACCCAAUGACAUCCCACGAAGACAUCUGAAUGGGAUUAAAGAUUUAUCGGUGAUGGAUGGGGAUGCGUCUGAUUAGCUUGUUGGCGGGGAACGGCCCACCAAGGCAACGAUCAGUAGGGGUUCUGAGAGGAAGGUCCCCCACAUUGGAACUGAGACACGGUCCAAACUCCUACGGGAGGCAGCAGUGAGGAAUAUUGGUCAAUGGGCGAGAGCCUGAACCAGCCAAGUAGCGUGCAGGAUGACGGCCCUAUGGGUUGUAAACUGCUUUUAUAAGGGAAUAAAGUGGGUCUCGUGAGACUUUUUGCAUGUACCUUAUGAAUAAGGACCGGCUAAUUCCGUG
rnacentral:rRNA from 1 species